CAAAAAUCAGCGGCGGACGGGUGAGUAACACGUGGGCAACCUGCCUGUAAGAACUGGGAUAACUUUCGGGAAACCGGAGCUAAUACCGGAUAGGUUCUUCCCUCACAUGAGGGAAGAUGGAAAGACGGUUUCGGCUGUCACUUACAGAUGGGCCCGCGGCGCAUUAGCUAGUUGGUGAGGUAACGGCUCACCAAGGCGACGAUGCGUAGCCGACCUGAGAGGGUGAUCGGCCACACUGGGACUGAGACACGGCCCAGACUCCUACGGGAGGCAGCAGUAGGGAAUCUUCCGCAAUGGACGAAAGUCUGACGGAGCAACGCCGCGUGAGCGAAGAAGGCCUUCGGGUCGUAAAGCUCUGUUAUCAGGGAAGAACAAGUACCGGAGUAACUGCCGGUACCUUGACGGUACCUGAUCAGAAAGCCACGGCUAACUACGUGCCAGCAGCCGCGGUAAUACGUAGGUGGCAAGCGUUGUCCGGAAUUAUUGGGCGUAAAGCGCGC
rnacentral:rRNA from 1 species